UUGUAAGUUUGCUUGUACGAAGCAAUCUCUGAAACUACUGAACUGAUUUUGAAAUUUCUGUCACCAGUAGAAAACCACAUUAUUCCUCAGUAACAUAGGCUAUUAUUUUAUUUUCAAAAAAAUAGAGAUCCGUACGAAAAUUGUAAUAAGCUACCCGUGCGAAGCCGGGGCGGGUCGCUAGUUAAUAAAAAUCCACCAGUCUACC